GAUGAACGCUGGCGGCGUGCCUAAUACAUGCAAGUCGAGCGAACAGACGAGGAGCUUGCUCCUCUGACGUUAGCGGCGGACGGGUGAGUAACACGUGGAUAACCUACCUAUAAGACUGGGAUAACUUCGGGACACCGGAGCUAAUACCGGAUAAUAUAUUGAACCGCAUGGUUCAAUAGUGAAAGACGGUUUUGCUGUCACUUAUAGAUGGAUCCGCGCCGCAUUAGCUAGUUGGUAAGGUAACGGCUUACCACGGCAACGAUGCGUAGCCGACCUGAGAGGGUGAUCGGCCACACUGGAACUGAGACACGGUCCAGACUACUACGGGAGGCAGCAGUAGGGAAUCUUCCGCAAUGGGCGAAAGCUUGACGGAGCAACGCCGCGUGAGUGAUGAAGGUCUUCGGAUCGUAAAACUCUGUUAUUAGGGAAGAACAAAUGUGUAAGUAACUAUGCACGUCUUGACGGUACCUAAUCAGAAAGCCACGGCUAACUACGUG
rnacentral:rRNA from 1 species